rnacentral:rRNA from 1 species
AGCGAACGCUGGCGGCAGGCCUAACACAUGCCAGUCGAACGAACUCUUCGGAGUUAGUGGCGGACGGGUGAGUAACACGUGGGAACGUGCCUUUUGGUUCGGAAUAACUCAGGGAAACUUGUGCUAAUACCGAAUGUGCCCUUCGGGGGAAAGAUUUAUCGCCAUUAGAGCGGCCCGCGUCUGAUUAGCUAGUUGGUGAGGUAACGGCUCACCAAGGCGACGAUCAGUAGCUGGUCUGAGAGGAUGACCAGCCACACUGGGACUGAGACACGGCCCAGACUCCUACGGGAGGCAGCAGUGGGGAAUCUUGCGCAAUGGGCGAAAGCCUGACGCAGCCAUGCCGCGUGAAUGAUGAAGGUCUUUGGAUUGUAAAAUUCUUUCACCGGGGACGAUAAUGACGGUACCCGGAGAAGAAGCCCCGGCUAACUUCGUG